GUGUGCUUGGGGCUCAGGAUGGUGGAGCGGGUCCUCAGCUGUUCGUUCUGCUUCUCGAGUUUGCGAACCAACUCCUGCAGCUUCCGUACUUCCAGGGUUUCGGAUCUUACAAGCCACAGCCUCAUGCUACCCAAAGUGGAUGCGUGAACAUCUAUCAGUUGGAGCUUGCCGCCUGCAGUUUGGAAACUCCCAGAGACAGAGCACUGAUCAUUACAUCACAUCAGUUCGUUGAGGUAGUACAAGGGAAAAGAAAUAACAGAAUGCCGAAUAUACUGUUACAAUUACAGAGAAAGUGC